CGUCAUCUAUAGUUGACAAUUUUAUAUUUAUAUAGAUUUCUUUUUAUUGAGUUUUUAUCGAGGUGAUAUUGCAUGAAAGUUUUAAAUUUUUAAAUAUUUAGAAUAUUAUUAUUUAUAGGAAUUUCUGUUGGUGACUAAUGGAGUUUUUUGAAUGUCUCUUGUAUGGAAUAGUAGGAAUGAGUUGUGUAAUAGCAGUACCGUUUUAUGUUUUUGAACAUGCCUAAUGGAAAUUGAAAUAGGAUGUAAAUCAGGUGUUUCUUUUGUGGGGGGUAGGGAAAAGGGAUGGAGCACAGCCACAAUUGUUUUGUUCACCUUCUUGUUUCUUGGGCACAUUUGUCAUUUACAUUAAUCUUUUUUUCCCUCAUUCACAUGAUACACUUAUCAGUGGGCCACGGUUUCCAUGUCUGAGUGAAUUGGAUUUGAUAAUAGAUUCAAAUAAAGCAAUUAAUAAACUUAUAGGUCCAGUUUGCAAUCAAAUUUCACAAAACUGUGAAGUUUUUGGAAUUUUUUAGGUUAUUUAGAGAUGUAAGUUCAAUUUUCAGAAUUAGUACAAAGAAGCAUGAAUAUGAUAUUUUAGAUGUUUUCUUUUUGCCAAUUCCAUCUAUUUUUGCUUAAUCUAUAAGGUAUUAACUUGUGUCCAGUGGCAAUCCCAAACAUUGGUGUGCAAGGCUGUGCUUAUUAACUCUUGGCUUUGCCCUUUUUGUUUCAGAUCCCUUUCCAGCUUGGAUUGUCAAAAAUGGAUCU
rnacentral:misc_RNA from 1 species